rnacentral:tRNA from 1 species
GGUGCUAUAGCUCAGUGGCAGAACGUGUGCUUAGCAUGUACAAGGCCCUAGGUUCAAUCCCCAGUACCUCCA